GUUGUACUCCCUCCGUCCCAAAAUUCAUGUAUUAAAUUUGUCUAUGUAUGAAUGUAUCUAGUCACGUUUUAGUAUUUUGAUACAUCAAUUUCUAGACAAAUCUAAGAAAAGAAUUUUGAGACGGAGGGAGUAGUAA
rnacentral:pre_miRNA from 1 species